GGAGGACCGCCGAGUGGCGCGGGGUACAGUGAUGGUGCCGGGCUUCUAAAUGGUACAGCAUUAAGUGACUACGGUGCGGAGGAUGCAGAACUGGGUGUGAACAGCAUCGAUGGUCUGGUGCUAAGCCAAGGCGUCGAGCCUUUCGACGGAGAUCGGCACAGCAAGUUCUUGUUUCUGCCGCUGCUGACGCUGCUGCGGUUCUCCAACUCGGCCUGUCAGGUGGAUGAGGCGGACGGCUUCACCGCCAGCGGCACCUGCUACCUGCCGGCCGAGUGCAGCAGCCGGGGAGGACUGGCGCGUGGCUCCUGCGCACUCGGCUUCGGCGUCUGCUGUGUCUACACCCUCUCCUGCGGCGGCACCACCAGCCAGAACGGCACGUUCUUCGUCAACCCG